AUAUAGUAUUAAAGGUUAAUAUGGAAUUUGAAGACAUUUUAGGAAAUGUAAUUCUCUAAUCGUAAAUAAAAAAGGACUAAUAAUGCUUCAGCAUCUUCCUGAUGUAGUUAGUGACUAACUUAGCUUAAAAGUAACCCCCAAAUGUUUCAAAAGUUUUAAUGAGUAAUACAUUUUGUUAUAACAUAGUUCUGUAAUGUAGAAAAAAAAAACUUUGUUGAUUCUAAUACAGCCAGCUUAUGUAAAAAGUGGCCGAUUUGAUUUUUGAAUUGUGAGCUACAGUUUCACUGCGUUUUUUUAAAGAAUGGCAAUAAAUUGUGUAGAAAGAAGAUCAGUUCUUCUUUCUGUGCAUGUAAGUGCCCUAAUGCGCUUGCCUCAUUGCAGAAUCUCAGGCUAUUUUUCAUUCUAUGUUCUUCUGUGUGGGAGACUCUGAGACGUUAUCAAAAAUAUCGGGAAGAGGUUUGACAUGAAUUUAAAAUUUAAGCACGGGUAUGAGGAAAAUCUGUGUUGGCUUCAGUAGUAAGGAGAUCAAACGGUAGAGUUUAGGACAAGAUUUCCUUCUAGAGUCUCUGGAUUCUCUAGCAUUUUCUACUUUAUUGUAUAAUCAACAUUUUAACCAAUAUAUAGUUAUUGCAUGCGUGACAGUAGAGGCGGAAAACUUAUCCAAAAACCUUGAAACCCUGAUCCUGACUUUAUCAGAUAUGUUCUGUUUUAUAUUUUCUAGCUGAUCCUAGCUACCGAGCACUUGAAGCCAACUUACAAAUUACACAGAAUUAACUAAGUCAUUUCUAUUUUAAGAGAAAUACUCUUUUAAGACACCAUUAUUUCAAUAUCACAAAUAGCACCACUCUUCGGAGCAAAACAGUAAUUCUAGUAACUUAAAAAUACACUUUUAGCAGGGAAAAUACAAUUUUUAUUGACUGUCAGUGCUCAUACUAUGGGUGUUUUUUUGGCUCACUUUCCAUUUCUUUCUUUGUGCUGCUUCUGACAGAUCAUUCCGGUGCUAGACACCGUGGGGAAAAUUAAUAAGGCAAGCGAUGCGUGUUGAUCUUCUUCCUACCCCAUAAACCCGAGUCUGCAUGAAUUCAGAACAACAAGAAGUCUGAGCGUUUAACGCCCUUUACUGAGUCUGACAGACAGUAGAGGCUGGAGUCAGCUCUGCCAUUGGCAAAUCGGAUUUCAUGUUCCACAGCAAAUCCAUCCCUGUCCAACUCAGCUCCGCUUCCUUUCCCGGGGGCCUAACAAAUGGAGUUAAAAGACUUAUACCCAAAUGGGGAAAUUAGUGCCAUUUGUGUAUAGGCAGUAGCCUUAUUCAAACUGCUUUCAAACUAAUUGGGAAAAAAUUUCAAGACAUAGUAUGAUUUAAUUAUAAGUCCUCCACAGUGGGUAGUGCGUAGGCAUCUAUAUAGGGCUCAAGAGCACAUUUAAGUUUCUUGCUUAUUUUGAAUUGUUUACGGAUCGCAUUGUAGUUCUUUGGUGGGGGGGCGGUGAGAAAGAAACACUUCAGUUUAUACAAUUUGGAAGAUGGAAAAAGUAUAACAAAGUAGUAAAUUUAACUUUUCAAGUUGGUAUGUUUUCUUCUGCUGAAGUAAUUCUUUGAUGGAUUGUCUUCGCUGUGUUUUAAGCUGAUGUUCUUUGGAAAUAAUUCUGAUUCUGAACCAGGAUGGCAGCAAAGGGGCUGGGGAGAAAGCCUUCUGUGUCUAAAACGUGACAAUUGAUAUCUUUAAUUGUCAACCUCCGGUAGUCUUUGACCAUGUUAAUAAAUCGAACAUGUGUUGAACAACUCAGAGAAUUCAUCCCUGGAAGUCAUGCUCCGGAACUUGUGGGCCGAGCGGUUUACUUAUUUAUUUCUCCCUGAUUUAAAUGUGACGUGCACUAUCUAGCUGAGACCAAUAUUGUUAUACAUCUAAGUUGAAAACUGCACUGCGGGUAGUCUAGGGCUUCGGUAUGGGCGAGGGACUGUGAGUCCAAAAGUCAAACGGAUGAGUGCUACGAACUUAACACAGCCUGCGAUGGCUAAAUUACAGAGCACACGCCCUCUCACAAAGUGCUGUUGAGUCACCUGUGGAGUGUGUUAACUGUUUCCUGACUCAAGCCUGGCCAUUUAGUGAUUAUUUCAACUCCACUAACUUGAUUCUUUUUUGUGAGUCUUAAAUAAGAACAGUAAACUUGCUUUGCGCCCACAAAGCCCUGGGUCCAAUCCUCAGCACUGAAAGCAAACAAAACCAGAUUAAAAAUAAGACCCAGGAGCAGUGAGUGGGCAGAUGGAUGGAAGUCAGAGCUCUUUGGCCCUACAGGGUUAGUGGAGUCUUUUAAACGAGGAUUCAAGUAGCUUUAGACCAGAGCUUUCGCAUUCCUGCUGGUCAUUCUGUUGCCUGGUGAUUCUCCUCCUGUUUUAUGCCAUAACUCAAAACUGGUUUCUCUUCAAUGAGUAGAGCGUGGGACUUAAUUAAACCUAAAAAUAAAAUAAAAGUAAACCCCAGUUUUCAGCCUGACUUAAAUAAUUCUAAAACACCACUCUACUCCAUAGCCCCAAUGACAGAUUAAAGCCCCCAGCUCGUUUGUUUGUUUGUUUUGUUUUGUUUUUGUCUUUGGAGAUGGGAUUAAGGUGACGUUUUAAGUGCAACAUGCGCAAACAAAGAAAAAGUUUGGAUUGUAUUUCAAAGUAACAGAUAAUGGUUUAUGCCUAAGUUGGCAUCUGAGGACUAGCUCCUGAUUGCUUCCAGUAACUAAGGAGGUAGAAAUUUUAUAAGAUUUUAAUUUAUGGAGACAAAUUUCUAGUUUUAUAUAAAAGGAAAUUUUCACUCAAAUCCUCUUAUCUUAUUAAAUUUUAAGUCAAAUUAGCCCAAAGAUGUUUCCUUCUAGUGACUUAUCACUUUUGACCUCCAGUUAACUGAAAAUAUUCUGAUCAAAAAAAGAAAUACAUGAAAAUAAGAUAAGAAAGAUGUAAAAUAAAGACCACUUGUAAUAAUUUUUAAGGAACUAAAUUAAUGUGAUUUUUUUUCCUGUUUGGGAGUUUUCAAGUUCUGGAAGAAUGGCCAUACAUCAGAAGUAAUGACAAAGAGGAUGAAUCUGAAAGAAUCGCUUUCCCAUUAAGAUAAAUACAUUCGAUAAUUGUUCACAGCUGAUGUCCAGAAUGUCCUGUUUCGGUUAAUACUCAAUCAAAACAAUAAAUGAAAAUGGAAAAGAUUUGGUUUCCCACCAGUAAAAUGAGGUAAUGAUGUGAAACUGAUCAUGCUGUUGAGUUGAAAAGAGAGAAUGUACAUCAGUAUCCAGCUCAGGUCCCUGCCUGUGGAAGGAGAGAUUGUGGAAAAGUGGAACAACAGAGACGCGUGCUGUUGGUCCUGUGACUGGGAACUGGAGAGGAGGCAAGAUGCUGGCAUAGCUGUUGAGCUGAGAACCUGCUAUGCCAACAUAUUGCCAUCUUUCCUGUCUGACUGCAGCUCGGCCACCUCCGGGCCAUUCCUCCAUGUCUUGCUGCGUGGAGGGGUUUUGUGACUUGAUCUGCCUCACCCUGACUUCUCUCUAGACAUGUACCAAGGCCCUCACUCCAUUCUAGCCACACUGGCCUGUGGGGGCUGUUCUUGGACACACCAGGGAUGUCCCUGCCUCUUCACCCACCUGCCUCUGUUUAUCAUUGGGUCUCAAAGGAGAACUCUUUCAUAGUGGCACUGUCUAUAAAACCUUUCAUGCGCCCAGCCACCGUUCAUCUCAUGACCCUGCUCUGUCUUUUCAGAAACAUCAGUCACUACCCAAACAUGUUUGUUUGCUUGAUUGUUGCCUAUUUCCUGUACCAGAUUAUGAGUCCUUUAAAGUAUACCAAUCUUCACUCAUUCACUGUAUCCCUUAACCAUGGCGUUUGUAAAUCCUCAAUUUGUGUCUUUGAAACUUUAUCUUGAACUUAUUGUGUAAUAAAGGUGUCAGAUAAUUAGAUUUUUAUCAUAUCGUGAAUGGCUCUGAUGAAACACUGGUUUAUAAGUAACAGAAAAUAAAUAAGUUAGUAUUGAUUUCUAGGCCUGCAAACCUGACAUCUUAAAGGAGCCACAAUAAAGUUAUCAUUGAGUCUACCAACUCAGAGAAGACACAAUAUUGUAUUGAAAAGCCAUCAUAUUCAAAAUAAAUGUUUUCCAGUCUCACCAUGGGAUUCGCUUCUGAGUUCUUAGUUAAACCACAAUUUUCUCUGUUGCAAGAUACUACUGACCCCACAGGAUUCUCGAGGUAGUUAGUGAGGUUAGUCUUAAUCAUAUGUAAGCAUUUUUAUCUCAAAAAAUUUUGAUGUGUUCAUACUGGUAAAAUUUCCGUGAGUUUUAAUUAUUUUACUGCCUAGAAUUAUUUUCUUUAGUUAGAAGCAGGUGAUCUUAAGUGUAAAUUCCAGACUUAUAGGGCUGUGUCUAUAUCAAGACAUAGAAAUGUUGAGACCAAAAAGUUAUUACCAUGGAUCUCAAAUCUUUUUUCACACUCCUCACCUUUCUUAUUUCUGGUUAUUCAUUAUCUACCAACUUGUGCCUUUUAUGCAUCUGCUAUCUCAUUAGAAUAAGAAUAUUUGAUAUUUUAAUUUUAAAGCAUUAAGGUUUUAGUAGGAAGUUUUUUGCUUUUAAUGCACUAAAUUUUAUAUUAACUUGGUGCUUUUCCAAGGAAGAAACUAACAGUCACUCUUGGGUGGGUGUUGUAACUACUGCAUCCAGAAAACAUUCAUUAUGUCUUCCUCAUGCCUCUGAGAGUAUAUUGAACAAAGCCCUUAAUUUAAGAGGUGGACAGCACAAAAGUGUGGCAAGUUGCUCUACAUUUUUAAAAAAAUACUCUGUUCACAAAGAGUAGUCAACAUUUGCAAAGCAAUAUGAUAAUUAAAUGACUUCAAAAAUGUUAGGUACUUUUUCUGAUCUUAGGUAUUAGUUCUCUUAGUACUUGUGAAUCUGUCACCCUUUUUUGUUCUUUCAGUUCUAGAAAUAAAGAUAUAAAGCAUAAUAACCACCAACGCUGGGAGGACAUUAUAAAUGUAACGUGAAGGCUUUGAGUAACCCAAUUAACAGCUGAAACCUGACAGCUAUGUUGCUUUGUUCAUUUAUUAUUUUGAUGGGGAAAAGAAAGUGUUGAUGAAUUAAUAGACCAGAACUUACAGUUUAUUGUAAGUUUAUUGUGGAGAUUUUAAAAAUGGAUCUCCACCCGUACUUAACUUAUAAACGUUGUUGGAGUUUGGGAUUCUUUUGCCUUUUCCAGAGUUCUGACUGCAUCAGUUGUAGAGAUAUCUAUCCAGUGUUCCCUUGACCUCAGGGCAGCUGAUAAGCUGGGUUCCAAGUGGAAAUGAACUUGAAGCUUAGAUAAGCUCUCCUCAUUUGAAAGGGUCUGAUUGUGACUUAUAAACACCUCUUUCUGCCAAGUGAAUGGUCAUGUGGGGGGGGAGGGAUUCACACGAAGAAACAUCAAAGAGAUGCUAAUAAGUCAAUGCUCUAACUUUACCAGCACUUAUUACAUGUCCUGGAUUUUUGAGUGACACUGCAUUUUUAGCCACCAGAAUUUGUUUUAAAAUGUGGAUUCCAAAACUGUCCCCUGGAGAUCUGGAUUUAAUAAGUGUUCAUUGAGACUUAAGGAUCUUGAUUUUUGAUGAGCACCCCGUUGAUCUGGAUUUCAUUUGAGAAGAUGCCCUGUUUUGAAAACACUCAACCUAGGUCCCAAGUCACAGGGCAAGUGUAUUUUAAAAGUACGCUUUUCAGUAUGGAAGUUAGCCACAGCCAUGAAAAGAGUCUGUUUUCCCACUGUGUCUUUGCUUAUGAAAACUGGAACAAUGUUUUGUGACCGUGUUUUAUCCUCUGAGGUCACUUACAUAAACAGCCCACAUAACUGCACUCGGGAGCGGUGCACCCCAGGCUGCCUCUGUGCAGUUCUUAACUCCCAUCAUCUCUGCUCCAGGGGUUCGUGUUACAACUUCCAAGUUGUUUUAUUUUCAUUACUGAUUGACAAAAUGUUGACCCAAAUCUUUCAUCUCUAUAUAGGCGCUACUCUGUAGGAUUUCUGUCAAAAUGAAAAUGAUACAUGAACUCCUUGAGGCUACAGACGAGGUCUAAUUAUGCGGGAGGGGAAUUCCCAAGAUUUAUGGGACUCUUAACAGUUGUAAAUCUUUCUGAAACCCAAGGGGUUAUAUCUUAAUUAAUAUAUUUCUUAAAUUGAUGUUUUUGUGACUAUUUUUUAUGAGUUAGGUCAUCUUUUCACUUGGAAGCAGUGUUGUGUAAGAGAAAGCUGCAGAUUGAAAUGCAGAAGGAUUCAGGAAGGCCCAGCUCUAUCAUUUUCUUGUACUAGUCAUGAUUUGGGGCACAUCUUUUAGUUGACUCCCUUAAUUGUACAGGUAAUGGUAGAAAAGAUUAUGUGAAUAAGAAAGGGGGUAAAAGAAAAAUAACAGCUGUAAAAAACUAACUAUACAUCAACAUAAGAGAUAAUCUAUAAAAAGAGGCUAGUUACAGAUUUUAGUAGGAAUUAGUUUUAUUUAAUUUUUUUUUUCAAAGCCAUCAGAAUGACUCAGCACACAAGGGCAUUUGCUGCCCAGCCUGACAUCCUGUGUCAGACCUCCAGGACUCUCUGGGUCGAAGGGGAGAACCAAUUUUCUCUAGUUGUCCUCUGACCUCCAUAUUCCCACUGAGAUAUAUGCUCAGACACACAGAGAUCUAAUUAGGUUUUUUUUUUUCAUUGUUCUUUUGCUUUGUACUAUUUUCCAGUUCAAUAAGAAAAAACUAGAGUUCUGAGUCAAAGGCAAAUAAUUUUUGUUCUCAUCCAAUAUGAAGUACUUCUUUUCUACUUUGUCCCAGGGAAAACAGUGUUGAAAGCCAUGGAAUGAGGAGAGAGAUAAGAUGUAACUCCGUGCUGUAGUAUGCCAAGGGUUCAGUCCCCAGCACUGCAAAUAAACGAAAACAUACAACAAACAAAAAUGAUUAAAUGGAGUGAUGAAGCAGUGUAUGCCUAAAAGGCCAGUACUCAUGAGGCAGAGGCAGGAGAAUCAUUAUUUGAAAGUCAGUAUGGACUACAUAAAAACAUUCAAAGCCAGGCUGGGAGUGUAGCUCAGUGAAAGAGCACUUCCUUAAUGGUCCAGGCCAUGGGUCCAGUUCUUGGCUGUUUAAGAAGUAAAUAGAAAUCAAGAGUACCUCAAUAAUGACUAGUGACUCACUCUUGUCUUAAUGGCUCAUGCGAUUCAAGUUGGACAAGAUGUAUAAAGAGUGCAAUGAAGUGUCAAACUCCAUAACUAAAAGGAAGAUCUAAAUUUAAUUAAUUUUACAUUGUUUAUGAAUCUCUCCAACUCUUUUCUCCACCCCCAACAAAAUGUUGCUUUGGAAAUGGUUGAGAUUUUAACAAAACUACUCUAUUUUAAUCCUGUCUACAGGACACCCUAAUUGGUUACUUUUGGUGUGUAACAGGAAGGUCAGACGCAUUUGUAUAGGAGGGAGGCUCAUCUUGUUUCAGCUCUGUUCUCGAGGGGCACAGACUAGACAUGGUAGGCAAGGUUCAGAGUGUCUACCGCAGUGGCACACCUCCUAAAGAAUCAACAUUCUCCAAACCACGGAAAACCAGUAUCCAGCUUGUAGUUUUCACUGAGAUGUGAACCAUGUAUUCAUUCUUCUUAAACCCCGUGAAUGUAUUUCAUAACAGAAAAAUACGCACCGAAGCUUCCUUUUAAAAUGCAACUUUGCUUUAAUGUUUUGAAAGUCAAUUAAGUUAACCAAAACAUUAAGAAACGUAUGAUCAGUGAAUAUGACGGAUAUUAGGAAAAUAUGGCUCAGACUUUGGGAAACUGAAUUUUAGGUAAAACCAUGCAGUAAAGCAGCUGGGGAAAGCCUCAUUAAAAACAUGAAAAAAAAAAUUUACCUAAAGUUUCUCCAGUUCAUGGUUUAUUUUGAGAUGUGUGUAUUGUUUGUGCACGAAGAGAUUUUUAAAGUGAGGAUUGAUGUACUAUGCCUAAAAAUUAUUCACACAAUCAGCAACCCCCCACACACAUACACAUAGAUCUGCCAGUAAGGGUUAAUAUCACUUCUCAGAUCAUGAGGAAAGUGUCUUAGAAAAGCAUUGUUCAUAAAUGAUAAGCAAGUUCAUUUAGAAGCUGACUAGUGAAUCUAGUUGGAGUAAUUCACUGGGUGUUUGUACUUUCUUGAAGAUAAGAUGGUCUUCACUGUCAAACUAGCUUUGGACAAAGGCCCAAGAUCUGCAAUAUGCAACAAAGCAGGAAACCCUUUCUGUGUGGUCUAGAAAACUUGCAACAUCUUAGUCUACAUGCAAAACAAAAACAAAAAUCUAGUAAGAGCUUUUGCUUUAUGAGGCCGAUGUACCUGCCUUGAGACCCAUGAAUUAGACAUCAUCAAAGACAGUUUUCCCAAACUUAGACAAGUAGUCUAGAAAUACCUACAGGGAGAAGAAUCAAGUAUGCAUGAGGAAAUAAAAGGGAAAAUGGAGUGCCUGGGAAAUGAGCCAUGCUUAAUGGUUUGCAUACCUUGAAAUGUCCUGUCUGAUUGCUUAACUUCACAGGAAAAGAAAAAAAUGAGUGACUUGAUUUACUGAUUCCAAAUUAAUUUUACAUAAUGGACUUGAGAGACCUAGCAUGAAAACCUUUAAUUUCAUCUGUGGCUGGGCCAGGAGGAGGAAUAGUUGUGCACAUCCAACUCUGCUUUGCUGGAAAGUAAAAUCACCCUUGAGAAAGGUUAAGAAAAAAGUAGGGCGAUAAAGUACAAUGAUAAAGCCUCGAGCUAAAAGAGAAAAGAUAUUCCCACUUUAAAAUGACCAGUUUUAAGGUGAGUUUUUUCUAAACAUUUCUUUAAACACGUUGCAAGUUAAUCAUGUUGUGCUUAUAAUUGUUUUCAGCUAUAUAACUUUACACAUAUGUAUUUGUCUCAACACUUGAAUUAAAUGUGAUAGUUCUACCUGUAUUUUGAGAAGUGUGAAAUCCUCUCACCCUGUCUCAGUUGGCAAUAUGCUUGCCGUUUAAACUUGAGGAUCCGAGUUCAUGCACAUGAUUACGUACACAAAAAAAGCCACACACAGCAGUGCCUGCCUGUAAUCCCUGCACUGGAGAAGGAGAAAUAGGAGGGUCACCAGGGCCUUCUAGCCUAUUAAUAUAUGAACUCCAGGUUGAGUGAAAGCCUCACACAACAGAAGGUGUCUCACAAAACAAGGUGGAGAACAAAAGACUGAGCAAGAUUUUUGAUGUUAGCUGCCUGCCCCCAUGCACAUCUGUGCCCACGUGAACACAUAUAGAAAGAAAACCUUUCCCCAGCUUCCUCUGUUAGAUGGACUCUUUCAGUUGUUCCUCCGGAAGUUAUUAAUCCGUUCUCUUAUAAUGAGACGUAGCACUUUACCACGACUUUCAGUCCAAGAAAACAGAUGAACAAGCCAGGUGAGGCGUUAGAGUGAUAUAAUGUAUGGAAAUAAGGAAAUUAUAAUCCCAAAGAAGAAUUUUUGUUUGUUGAGGUUAAAAUUAGAGGGGUGAGGGAGUGUCACCACAAGGCAGAGCGCAUGUAUGAGAUCCCUGAAGCUGCAGAUUUCCGCACAUCUGGAAUGUUCAUAGUAGUGAUGGGAAGAACAGAUUGUAUAAGAUAUACAUACAAGCAGGGACCACACACGUCUCCUAAGCCUGGUUACACAGCACAGCUUUUAUUAAUGCAACGAGCCACUGAAGUAUCUAAAGUCAUUGCCCCAUUAAAUGAAGAGGUUUAUAAUUUGUUGUUUUGCUUUGAUUUUGAAACAAGGUCUCAUUAAGUAGCCCUGGUUGGCCUGGAAUUUGCAAUGUAGACCAAGUUGGCCUCAAACUCACAGAUCUGCCCACCUCUGCCUCCCAAGUUCUUGGAUUAAAGGCCUGUACCACCAGGCCCUGUGAAGUUUUUUUUCCUUGAAUAUUCAGAUUCCCUCCAUAGGCUCAUUCACUUCCUCCCUCUUGCAUAUCCUAUAAUUGACACUCUUCUUGAAGCUGGCAUCCUCUCUGCUUCAGGGCCAUUCUUCACUUAGAAGCCAGAAGGAAACCGAAACUGUAGUUAGAUGUCUCCUCCUGCCUUCUCCUUCCCACUUCCUCUUUAGGCAUGUUUUAAAUUAUUCCUCUCCCUUUCUUUGCAUCGUGAUUUCUUUUUCUUCCUUGGCAUCUUUGUCAUGUUUUUCAGCUCUUGCAUACACCAUCUUUCUAGCCCAGACCUCUGUUUUAUUACUUUUUUGCAGUUCCAGUUGCCUUUUAUUUUAUUACACAGAUGGUACCGCCAGCCUUUUAUUUUAUUAUACAGAUGGUACCGCCAGCUCAACUUGUAGAAAGCCAAAAACUCACUCCAUCCAAAUGACAUCUUAAGAUAAUGCUUUAUCACCAGUAUACCUUGGAAACCAAAUGUCAUCUUGCUCUCUUUCUCACCUGGCCUCAACUGCCUGUUUCCAUAUCCUGUGAGUUCCAUCUCUACAGCCUCUCUCAUAUAUACUCGCUGUUUCCUAUUCCUGCUUACAUUGCCUGACCCAGCUGCCAAUUACACACUGUAAAACCUUCCAGUCCUUCCAGCUUCCGGUUCACCCCUCCCCAACACACACACAUACAUCCCAAAUCUACUUCAUACCCUUGCUAAAAAUGUCCUCCUAAAGCAUUUAUUUGAUAGUUUUAAAUCAUUGUGGAUUGAGCCUGGCCAAUGUUCUCCACAAGCUUGAACAAAAAAACCUGUGUCAGUCGCUUUUACUUUUUUUUUUAACUUCUAUAACCGAAUUCCUGACAAACAAAGCUUAUGUUGGCUUACAGUCUAAGAGGAUACUGUCCGUGUUAGCUUACAGUUUGGGUGAUGAUCAUUAUGGCAGGAAAGACGUGGCUGCAGAGUAGGGACAGUUCGUCAUGAUGCAUCUUUAAUCGGGAAGUGGAGAGAGAGAUUAAUGCCAGCACCUGCUUGCUUUCUCCAUGUGGUUCAGUCCAGUGCCAGAGCCCAUGGAACUGUGCUGCCCAAGUAGAGAAUGGGCCUGUCUCCCUUGGUUAAACCUCUCUGAAGCUCCCUCCUAGACAAACUCAGAGGUGUGUUCACAUGGUGGCCCUAAAAGCAGUCAAGCUGACAGUGAAUGGUAAUCAUUGCACUGUCUCUCUCUCAUCUCCCAAGUAUCUCCACCUCAGCAACUGUUCUAAAAACCUCAUAUUCAUUCAUACUUUCUUUUCUUCUGUGUAUUAUCUUUCCAUGUUCCUUUUUGAUGUGAAACUAUCCAUACCAAAAUUGAUUUUUUUCCUCAAUGAAAAAUUCCCUGAUAUUCCCAAAUAAAAUCGAUUUCUUUUUUUUUUCUAAAGGUAUUUUGUAUGUGACUUAAUCCUAUAAACCACAUAUGCCUAUGAAACAGCAUUGUGCACCUGUCAUAGAUGAACAGCUCUUUAUUAUUCAGCUGUUUUAUAAGAAAGGAACAGAUCUUGUAAGUGCUUUAACAUGGUGCUUUAGGUGUUUUGUGGAUCUUUACAAUGCCCAGAGUAUAUUCUAGCGUCAUAAUUUAUCUCGUCAGUAUCCGAGUACCAAACAUUCUCUUUAACAUACAAAACCCUCCAGGGUUAGACAUGCACACAUUUAAUUCCUGCACUCCAGCAGAUCUCUGAGUUUGAGGCCAGCCUGGUUGUACAUAGCAGGUUUCAGGCCAGUGGGGGCCACAUAGCAAGCUCUGUCUCAAAAAAAAAAAAAAAAAAAAAAAAAAGUACCUCCAAUAUGCACACGUGUGCAAUGCAUCUGAAAUACUGUAACCACUCCCGUGGACAGCUCUCCAAGAGAACGUUCUCAUAUAAGCUAUUCUGGUUAUGUCUGGAUAGUGUAAGGAUCAGAUUCUGUCUCAGGCUACCUUGAGGAGAAGAUGUGCAGUGUAUGAACUUAUAAGACAUGCAAGCAGAAGGCAUCAGGCACCAAAAACAACACCUUUAAGGAUACGCUCCUUUCUCCACCCUUCACCUUCUCUGUGACUAUUACUUUACUUUUUAACAUCAGAUGAGUGAGUUUUAGAAAGCAGUAGUGAGCAGCAGCAUUUUCUUUGGCAUUUCUCGGGCCUCUAGCUAUUUUUUUUUAAUCCCUUGCUAGUGUGUUCUGGUAUGUGGAUUUUAUUCCUAAUUCCUUUUAGGACAUUCCUUUAGGACAAAAUUAUAAAAUAAUCCGAAAGUUAAUGAUUUGUUCUCCCUCUCAGCAGAACUGAAAGGAACGAUAGCUUGGGAAGAUCAAUGUAAUGUAACCCUAAAACCGGUUUCUAGGGGGUCAAAUCACUGCUGUCAUGUCUCUGCUCUCAGCACACAGUGGUUGAAAUGACUGGGAAGAUUUGCAUUAAGUGAAACAAAGUGUUAUGGCCUUAAAAAAUAAAAACUCAACUGUCACUAACAAAAUUGUGAUAUAGUAAGCUGAGAAGAAAAAAGGGCACAAAGAAGAAUUAAUGACAAUACUGCCUUCCAGAAAAGUCUCAGAAUCAAUUGUGUAUCACACACUAAAGGUAGAGCUUCAAGCUUGAACAGGCCACCAAAGAUGGGCCAUUGAGAGGGCUCAGCCAAGCCAAUCCAGCAACCCAAGUGUGAUCCUUGGAACCCACAUGAAGUUAGAUGGAGAAAACCAGCUGUCCUCUGACCUCCACGUGUGUCAUAGCAUUCACACUCCUACACAUUCCCUACACAACCCCCCACACCAAGCAUCUUCCUUUGAAUAAUAGGUGAUAAUAAUAACAAAUAUAAAAGAAAUAAAAGACUGCCAAAGACACCUACCUUUUAAAGUACAGUGCUCUUCUAGUCCAUGGAUUACAUCCAGUGCCCUCGAUUUGUUCAAGUCCCAGAUGAAAAAGCAAACUUGGUUCCCUUCCUUUUUCUUUAAGAGCCCUAAGUAACACACCUGCCAAUAAAUUAAUUUCCUAGUCUAUUGUUUUUCUGACUUUUUAAAGAUUAACACAUUCAGCAGUCAUGGCACUGUAAACUGAACAUCGUAAAUUACUGCUGUGACGACCUUAAUUAUAUGGUAUACACAAAUCAUAUACCGCAUGGAAAAGCCAAGAUAAACAAGCCAUUGUUCAUGCCAGUGGUUUGAGACAAUUUUAUCUUGGGGAAUGCUUACAACAAAAAGCUCUUUUCAUUAGCUUAUUUGUAUAUAUGAUCUAGAGAAAGCCUGUUAUUUAAUGUUAGCAGAAAAGCACCUAGCUUCAACUUAGAAAACCUUUGUUCCACUGUAUCUGAACCAAUGGUCUUAAUGAUAUACCAUCUGACAAGCAAGAUGACAAAGAAUCUAAAGUGCAAUGUAAAAGUUUUAGACUUGUAGGAUAGUUAGUACUUCCUUCUCUCUCCCCCACCAAAAGUGAAUUCUUUUAUAUUGAUUAAUAUUUUUUUAUGUAUGUGAGGGCUCUAUCUGCAUGAAUGCCUGCAGAAGAGGGCAUCAGACACCAUGUGGUUUCUGGGAAUUUAAUGCAGGACCUCUGGAAGAGUAUCCACUGCUCUUAACUGCUGAGCCACUUUUUCAGCUCCCUCGCUGCCUUUCUUUUAGAAGGUGAUUGUGCCUAUCCUUCAAUAAAUUACAGACUGCUUUGUGCCUAUCAUUUUUGGCGUUGGUGGUUCUAGGGAUGGAACCCAGAGCAUCAUACAUGCCAGGCAGGUAUCUUACCACUGAGCUACAAUCUUAGCUCCGCCCUUUCUAGCAUUCCUCUCUCUCACAUAGAUGUGGUGUCUUUGCUCACUGGUGUAUGUAUUUAUAAUUGUGAACAGGUCUAUUGAUAUAUUCCUUAAAGGGAGGAGAAGGGAUUGGAAACAGAUGUUGUAGUCUUGGGUAAAAGCAGAAUGAUCCAUUAUUUAAGGUCUGCCUCACCUAUGACUUGGAGGCCAUCCUAGGCUCCAUGAGAUUUUGUCUCUAAAGAGAAGGGGAGUGGGAAGGAAAGGGAUGAAAAGAAGAGAAGAGAGGAAUGGAGAGGAGAUGAAAACAUUAAGGAAAGGGGAGAAAAGAAAAGAACAACAAAAAAAUAACCACUGGGGCCAGAAAGAUGGCUCAGUUGGUAAAGUACCUGCUGCACCUAUAUUCAAAGUCCAGAUGUCCAUGUCAGGACGCCUGAUAUGGCAGUAGAAACUAUACUCGCAGCGCAGGGUAAGCAGAGACAGGAGGAUCCCUGGAGCUUCCUGGCAAGGCAGCCUAGCCAAUUGAUAAACUACAAGUAGCAUCUCUCAAAAAAAUAAGAUGAAAGUAUUUAAUGUCUGCUUUUGACCCCCACUCAUACAUAUGCACAUGCCUAUCCAAACACCACAACACCAACUACAGACAAGAAUCACCUUUUCUUUCGCCAUGUGGAAAGGUACUAUGAAUCCAAAAGAAGUGACCAUCAUCUUGUGUUAGUUGUACAGGCUGAAAAGUCCACAUGAUAACCUCAAAAUUAAGUACUAUAAUAAUUUUUAUCUCAAUACUUAAUACCAGUCAUUACAUAGCAUCUAGUUCCCACUUCUUUAGUGUGUGUGUGUGUGUGUGUGUGUGUGUGUGUGUGUGUGUACUGCCCAUUCCAGGCUGGCCUUGAUCUACCUUUCUCAGCCUUACAAGUGCUGUUUCAAGAAGCAAAAAUCCUCCGUGCCAAGCCUCUACUUCUACAGAUGAUUUUCUUUGACAAUUCUAUUUUCUUUGUUGUACACACAAAAAAAGAUACUGAUUAUUAAAGAAAAAACAAACAAUUCUGAGGCCUGAGAAACAAUUAUAAGCAAUCGUGAAAGUUAUCAAUACUCCUCCAACUAGGAGUUGGUUUAUUCCAAAGUGAUCUUAAUCUUGUUCUGACCUUAAGGAUGGAUGUGACAAAGAGGAGGCAGUUUAUAUUCCAAAGGCAUAUGAAUGGUUCCAUUAUUGGACUUAGCUGUAUCUUCUGCACAGUCGCAGUGACAAAGAGAACAUUUGUUUCCAUGUGUAAGAUUUUGUUAAGAACCUUUAUUCUUUUCCCACAGAGCAGAACUAUUACCAUACAAGAUGCUUAUCAGCGACACUGACCGAUUUCCAGCUUACUCUACCUCUGUCCCAAUUACUGCCUGUUACUGGAACAAAAGAACCAGACACCAGAGACACUGGAUCAAACCUGACAGAAUUCAUCCUUCCAGAAUGCUGAGACAUUGACACAUCUGUUCCAGCAUCUUGCAUGUUCCAGCAUUCUGCUUGUUCCUGCCUCAACUGCUUCAAUUGCUGUUUCUCAUCUAAGCCUGCUCCCAAGAGAGCUUUGAAGAAAGCUACUAAUCUCAAUUGGUCCAGCAUUUUACACUGUUCUAAACAGGACUUCUUUUUUUUUUUUUUUAAUCAGUUACAUUUUAUUAACUCUGUAUCCCAGCCGUGUCCCGAUCACUCACUCACUCCCAGUCCCUCCCUCCCUCCCUCAUCUCCACCGUGCCCCUUUCCAAGUCCACUGAUAGGGGGGACCUCCUCCCCAUUCAUCUGAUCCUGUUUUAUCAGGUAUCUUCAGGACUGGCUGCAAAGCCCUCCUCUGUGGCCUAACAGGACUGCUCCUCCCUUCGGGGGUGGGGAGACCAAAGAGCCAGUCAUUAAGUUCCUGUUAGAAAUAGUCCUUGUUCCCCUCACUUUGGGAAACCAAUUGGUUACUGAGCUACCACAGGCUACAUCUGAGUAGAGGUUCUAGGUUAUAUCCAUACAUGGUCCUUGGUUGAAUGUCAGUCUCAGAAAAGACCCUGUGCCCAGAUAUAUUUGGUCCUUGUGGAGCUCCUAUCCUUUCCCCAACAGACUAACUCCCCUUCUUUCUUAUGAUUCCCUGUACUCUGCCAAAGUAAACAGGACUUCUGUUAAGACUGAAAUUUCUCAAUAUUCAAAGACUGGACCACAAAUGUUAAUGCUUGCUUAAUUAACCAUUUUCCCCAAUUUUGUUUGGGCCCUCUAACAGGAUUUCUAGGUGUCCAAAAAGUCAGCUAGAAAAAAAUGUAUGAGAAUAAUGUUCAAUUUCCUUUAAAGGGAGUUGGGUAGGUUUUUGGUUGUUUUCUAGGGCUAUAAAUGUUUAUUGUCAUUGGAAGAUGGUUAUAAGUUGUUAAUCUUAUUCAGAGGGAAAAUAAGGUUAGGAUAUUAGGUAAUGCAAGUUAAUUGUUAGUUAAUUAACUCAUAGCCAUAUCAAACACUAGUCUAAUUUAUCCUAGGAGUAUAGGAAUAUACAUCCUAGGGUUAACAGAGAGAUGUGAUUACAUAAAGAUAGGUAAGUCUUCAAAAACCUCAGAAACCUACAGAAUAGAGCACUUAAAAAUAUCUUUAUUAUUUUAAAGAGUAUUUGACAAUGAGACAGGUCAUCUUCUGAUAGCAUCCUACCUGAAAGAAGACGGUGAACAUCAAAGAGAUGGCUUCAAAUGUGGCAAACGAGCCAUCUGGGAAAAAAAAAUGCCCUCAUUUCAUGACAGACAUAAUUCUGCCAAAAAUGGGCAAGUCUAAAUGCAGGACAAGUCAACUGCCCAACUCUGCCAAUGCAGAGUAAGCAAGUCUUAAAUAGUUUCUGCUUCACAUAUAUGUCUGUCAAAUAUACUGAGCCAGAAAGCUGAAGAUAAUGCUCCAAUGCUAUAGAGAGUUUUGAGUGAUUGUUCAGGCAGCAAACUGUCUCUCUCAUUUUUUUAUGUUAGGAAGUGCUGCUAACAUGCACUUCCUGUUUACUCCAGUAACUAAUUUUAUUCCUUCUCAAGUCUCUGGUGGGGUCGAAGACCAAAUAGUUAUAGUUACAUAAUUAAGCUUAAGUUGUUUAGAAUUUAAGAAAAUGUUUUCAUAUAGGUAAUACCAAUAAUGAUAAAAAAUAAUUUAGGUAUAGAACUCUAAACUUGUCAAGAUAGGAUAGAUAAUCAAAUACUUUCUUCCUACAUUGCCAAAUGCACAUGGACUGGACAUUGCACAUGUAAAUCUUACCUAAUAAUUUUCAUACUGUUUUAUAAUAUUGUAUUGAAAGAAAAGGAGGCUUUUAUUGGACUUAAAGGGGGAAAUGUUGGUAUAAUGUUCCCAUGGAAUAUAUACAAUUUACCAUUGUUCAUUCAAAUGCUGAUUUCUCUACUCUACUAUCUGGUUUCAACCUGACAUUGCAUUGUGAUGCUUAUUGUAAGCAUCACCUGUCACAAGUUUGUGUAAACAUGCCACCAUUUGUUUUCUGUAUUGUCAAUAAAACAACCAGCCAAUGCUGAGCAAUGGAGAGAAUAGGGUGGGACAUCCUGGUCUGGAGGACAGGAGAAAGAAGUGGGAAGUGUCGGGAAGGACCAUACUUGGAACCACCAGGAGAGAUGAACUGGACCUAAGAUAUGACUAAAAGCAAGUAUAAUGUGGGAAAUCUGAAUGGAAAGAAUCUGUGCAGGCUUGGAGGUGUAGGAUGGAGUAAUCAUUGCCCAGCAUUGUGCUCUAGGUUAACUAAAUACAUCCUAUUCUCUGUGUGAUGAUUUGGGUAUACAGCUGGUUUAGGAAUAACUGCUGUUUAACUAAAAGAUGAACCAAUAAUAAUAAUCAACAACAA